UACGUAGGUGGCGAGCGUUGUCCGGAUUUACUGGGCGUAAAGGGAGCGUAGGCGGACUUUUAAGUGAGAUGUGAAAUACCCGGGCUCAACUUGGGUGCUGCAUUUCAAACUGGAAGUCUAGAGUGCAGGAGAGGAGAAUGGAAUUCCUAGUGUAGCGGUGAAAUGCGUAGAGAUUAGGAAGAACACCAGUGGCGAAGGCGAUUCUCUGGACUGUAACUGACGCUGAGGCUCGAAAGCCAGGGGAGCAAACGGGAUUAGAUACCCCGGUAGU
rnacentral:rRNA from 1 species